UACAGAGGUCCCGAGCGUUGUUCGGAUUCACUGGGCGUAAAGGGCGCGUAGGCGGCCUUCUAAGUCGAACGUGAAAUCCCCGGGCUCAACCCGGGAACUGCGUCCGAUACUGGAAGGCUUGAAUCCGGGAGAGGGAUGCGGAAUUCCAGGUGUAGCGGUGAAAUGCGUAGAUAUCUGGAGGAACACCGGUGGCGAAGGCGGCAUCCUGGACCGGCAUUGACGCUGAGGCGCGAAAGCCAGGGGAGCAAAGCGGGAUUAGCAAACCCGU
rnacentral:rRNA from 1 species